GAUGAACGCUGGCGGCGUGCCUAAUACAUGCAAGUCGAGCGAACGGACGAGAAGCUUGCUUUUCUGAUGUUAGCGGCGGACGGGUGAGUAACACGUGGAUAACCUACCUAUAAGACUGGGAUAACUUCGGGAAACCGGAGCUAAUACCGGAUAAUAUUUUGAACCGCAUGGUUCAAAAGUGAAAGACGGUCUUGCUGUCACUUAUAGAUGGAUCCGCGCUGCAUUAGCUAGUUGGUAAGGUAACGGCUUACCGAGGCAACGAUGCAUAGCCGACCUGAGAGGGUGAUCGGCCACACUGGAACGGAGACACGGUCAAGACUCCUACGGGAGGCAGCAGUAGGGAAUCUUCCGCAAUGGGCGAAAGCCUGACGGAGCAACGCCGCGUGAGUGAUGAAGGUCUUCGGAUCGUAAAACUCUGUUAUUAGGGAAGAACAUAUGUGUAAGUAACUGUGCACAUCUUGACGGUACCUAAUCAGAAAGCCACGGCUAACUACGUG
rnacentral:rRNA from 1 species